UUGUUGUGCUUUAAAAGCCCCAUUUAUUGGUAAAAAACGGAAGAAACUUUUUUUGGCCUUAUUAUAUACGGUUUUGUGGUUCAUUUGGAAGGCAAGAAACUCAUUGGUGUUCAACAAUAGGAGAUGUUCCCCUUUUAGAACGGCGGAUGAUAUCCAAUUACUUGGGUUCAGGCCCAGGGCAACAAAUUAUUGAGGGCAUCAAAAUUGUCCAACUAGUUAUAUGUAUAGUAUAUAUGACAAUGGCCCGAAAACUUAUCCCAUGGUGAUGAUCUGUUUACUGAUGUCGUGACUCGUGAGAAAAAAAGCUAGGGAGCACACGCCUCGAACCAAACGUCGCACAUGCCUAGAAUCCCGCUGGUGUUGCUGUCGAUUGGAGAAAUCAAUUCCUACCUAGAAUACGUCCCUCAUAAAUAAAAAGUAAGAGCAGAUUUCUCUUUUGUUUCCUUCCGGUAGAUAAUCGAUAUUAUAUGGCUCUCAAAUCUCAAAUUAAUCAUUAUCAAUCGACACUUAGUCCGGAAAAGCAACAAUUUCUCUAAUCUGGUCCGGUUUUCUCUAAUUUGAUACAGCAAAAGGCGAUUCUGAAUUUCUGAUUUAGUAGUUCACUGAUUUGGGUGUGAUUUAUUUCUUGUUGGUUAUUUAAGAAAUCAGAUUUAGGUGAGUUCAAUCGAAACUUGUGUUUAUUUAGGUUCGUUUCAGAAAUCUGUUUGAUUUAUUAUUCAUCUGAUGAUCUGAUUUCUUCUCUAAUUCAUUACAGGAAAAAGUAGUUAAAGUCCCAAAGAGUUCAUUCUAAGUUUUCUAGUUCAGAAAUCAUAUUUCUGUUUCAGUCUUUUAGAAAUCAAAUCAGCUUUCUCCUCUGUUUGUGUUUGUGUCGGAUAUUGUUGUUUCAGAAAUAAGAUUUUAGUUACUUUAAUUUUGAAAUUUGUUUGUGUUCACUGUUCAAUAUUUGUUGUCUAAACAUUCUUCCUAAUUUUUGUGUUAUUGUUUAUGUGAUGUGCAGAUAAAAAUUCUUUCUGAAUCUGAAUCUGAUUGUAGAGAACUUGUUUCACGGGAAUCCCAUUAAUAAAAGAAAGUUGAAGUAGCUGUUUGGCACACCCCAUCACAUGUGGUUACAGGGGCAGUGCUUGGGAUCCUGGUUGCGUGUAUUUGUUGUCAAUGUUUGCUUUGGUGUAAUCUGAAAUCUGAAUUCUAUGCAUUUGUUGUCAAUGUUUGCUUUGGUGUAAUCUGAAAUCUGAAUUCUAUGCAGGAUUGUUUUAUUUUAAAAACAAAUUUGUUUGAUUUUGGUGGAUUGAUUAGUUAUAUAUAAAACAAGUCAUAAGUUGUUAUAUUAUAAUCCUAAAAAAAUUGCAAAGCAGAAGUUUGUUGUUAGUCUCUUAUUCUUCGGUUAAGAUCAUAAAAUAGCAACAUAUUGUUCUUUAGAACACUAACUCAUUUGAUUUUUUUAGAAACCUCAUCCGCUAAUUAUCAAGUUUGAUAUUGAUAAAACAAGACACCAAGUUUUGUUUGAUUUUAAAGUUAUUGCUUUUUUGUUUAUAUACAUUUUUUAUGUAUACGUUUUGUCCAUUGUACAAUACAUGUAUAAGGGCAUAAAAUUUUUAUUUCAUCCCGGGUAUCAAAAAUCAACGGACCGGCCCUGCUAAUGAUGAUGAAUAAAAAUUACAAGACUAAAUAACAAUUAAAAUAUAUCAUCAAAAGUACAUAAAAGUAUUUCAUUCCGAACUCAUCUUCAUGCUUGUGUAGUGACAUAGCUAGGAUUUUAUUUUAGGAUAGACCAAAUAAUUUAUAAAAUAUGAACUAAUAGAAAAAUACUUCAAAUGAUAACAAAAUAUAACUUUGUAUCAUUUUGUAGUAAAUUGUUUUGUCUUUGACCUAGCAGUAGGGAGUGACUUUUUCAAAUGAUAGGUCAUAUUUUCAAAUCUCUUAGGAGACAUAGGUAAUAUGUAGGAGUAGAUUGAUUAGUUUGCAGUUUCAAAAAAAAAAGUUGGAAG
rnacentral:lncRNA from 1 species